UACGUAGGGGCCAAGCGUUGUCCGGAUUUAUUGGGCGUAAAGAGCUCGUAGGCGGUUCGGCAAGUCAGCUGUGAAAUCUCCACGCUCAACGUGGAGGGGUCAGCUGAUACUGCUGUGACUCGAGUCCGGUAGGGGAGUGUGGAAUUCCCGGUGUAGCGGUGAAAUGCGCAGAUAUCGGGAGGAACACCAGUAGCGAAGGCGGCACUCUGGGCCUGUACUGACGCUGAGGUGCGAAAGCGUGGGGAGCAAACGGG
rnacentral:rRNA from 1 species